UACGUAGGGGGCAAGCGUUGUCCGGAUUUAUUGGGCGUAAAGAGCGUGUAGGCGGCCUGAAAGGUCAGCUGUGAAAACUCGAGGCUCAACCUCGAGACGUCGGUUGAAACCAUCUGGCUAGAGUCCGGAAGAGGAGUGUGGAAUUCCCGGUGUAGCGGUGAAAUGCGCAGAUAUCGGGAAGAACACCGGUGGCGAAGGCGGUUCUCUGGGCCUGACCUGACGCUGAGGAGCGAAAGCGUGGGGAGCGAACAGG
rnacentral:rRNA from 1 species